GUUCUGGUGGUCUAGUGGUUAGAGCGUCCGCCUCGGAUGCGGGAGGUCGUGGGUUCGAUUCCAGGUCGAGUCA